rnacentral:rRNA from 1 species
UGGGGAAUAUUGCACAAUGGGCGCAAGCCUGAUGCAGCCAUGCCGCGUGUAUGAAGAAGGCCUUCGGGUUGUAAAGUACUUUCAGCGGGGAGGAAGGGAGUAAAGUUAAUACCUUUGCUCAUUGACGUUACCCGCAGAAGAAGCACCGGCUAACUCCGUGCCAGCAGCCGCGGUAAUACGGAGGGUGCAAGCGUUAAUCGGAAUUACUGGGCGUAAAGCGCACGCAGGCGGUUUGUUAAGUCAGAUGUGAAAUCCCCGGGCUCAACCUGGGAACUGCAUCUGAUACUGGCAAGCUUGAGUCACGUAGAGGGGGGUAGAAUUCCAGGUGUAGCGGUGAAAUGCGUAGAGAUCUGGAGGAAUACCGGUGGCGAAGGCGGCCCCCUGGACGAAGACUGACGCUCAGGUGCGAAAGCGUGGGGAGCAAACAGG